GGACGAACGCUGGCGGCGUGCUUAACACAUGCAAGUCGAACGGAAAGGCCCUGCUUUUGUGGGGUGCUCGAGUGGCGAACGGGUGAGUAACACGUGAGUAACCUGCCCUUGACUUUGGGAUAACUUCAGGAAACUGGGGCUAAUACCGGAUAGGAGCUCCUGCUGCAUGGUGGGGGUUGGAAAGUUUCGGCGGUUGGGGAUGGACUCGCGGCUUAUCAGCUUGUUGGUGGGGUAGUGGCUUACCAAGGCUUUGACGGGUAGCCGGCCUGAGAGGGUGACCGGCCACCUUGGGACUGGGAUACGGCCCAGACUCCUACGGGAGGCAGCAGUGGGGAAUAUUGCACAAUGGGCGGAAGCCUGAUGCAGCAACGCCGCGUGCGGGAUGACGGCCUUCGGGUUGUAAACCGCUUUCGCCUGUGACGAAGCGUGAGUGACGGUAAUGGGUAAAGAAGCACCGGCUAACUACGUG
rnacentral:rRNA from 1 species